UGUGAGUUGGUGAGCGCGUCU
rnacentral:misc_RNA from 1 species